AAGGGAAGCAUGCUCAUGCAGAUGUUUUUCUUUUUCUUUCUUUUUUUGGACAUAUAUGCACGUAGUGAUUUUACUUUCUAAUAUUGAGUCAUAAUGAUUUAUUUAUUUAUUUUUUUAGUUAGAAGUGGAUUCAAUUAUUUGCUGACUAUGUUGUAACUUGUAAGAAUAUUCUCAAAUUUAGUAACUAAAGCUAUAAUGUAAUUUAUUUUUAAUAUUGAUUUAAAUUGGUCCAUUUUAGUGAAAUA
rnacentral:lncRNA from 1 species